GGAAGAGAACAGUUAUAAGGAUGAGAGCAGUUUUCCUGCAGAAAUGUUGCCAAGAUGAUGGUGAGGAGAAGUCAGAAUCUGGAUAUAACUUCGAAGAUAGGUUCAACAGGUCGGGUGAUGACUCUGAGCUUUUGAAACUCAGAUUGAAAGAAUCCUUGACAACACAGAUAAGAAGCACCAAUGCUGAAUGGCUGUCCCAGGACAACUGGAUGCUGCACCUUUGUAGACUCUUGACUACCCAGUUCCUCAGGGCUACAUGGCUUGAAACUGAGUCGUAUCUGACUCUGUACCAUGGCCCAUGGUCUGCUGUGCCACUGACUACCUGAUGGACUUGGGCCUCCUCUGCUCCCUAGGAGGCUGAAAUAAUGUGGAGCAAUGGGAUUAGCGCAGAGGCAGGAAGCCGAUUAGUAGGUUUGUGGUAGGGGGUGGGGUGCUGGGGGAAUGUUGCAGGGAAGCAGGAGUUGGGUUGGCAACUCAAGGGGCUCUGCUGAAAGAGGGGGUGCUGGGCCUGUUACCAGGAACUGACAGUAACACUGGUGCUGGCAAAGAAGCUCCAGGUGUCUAACUGGACUGAUGCAGGGAUUAGCAAUAGAAUUAGCAAUGCAUCUGAGUUAACCACAUCGGGGUGACUGCACUUGAACCUGCCCCAGUAUAACCAGAUCUGUGAACUAACAGUAAUAGCAAAACCAAAUCAGCUCAGGCCUAAUACACACCUCCUUCACUCACUUGAGAGCCUGCCAGCUAGACCUCCCCUGGGUGUGUGCCUGUCUGGAGCAUGCAGCAAUCUUUGGUUUAAAAUAGUUCAAAACUACAGCCUCUCAUAGCUGUUUUUUUCUCAGAAUGGAAAUAUCUGCAACAGCAGCCAGUGUCACUCCUGCAUUGCUGCUUGGUGAAUUAGUGCAAGAAAUUAACAAAGACGAUUUGACUCAAUCUGAGAGAAUGUUUAGCCUUGCUUUGGAAGUGAGGCAAGCUGGCAACGAUCUCUGAUUUUUCACUGCUAAUGCAUUGAGUGAUAAUUACUCCCCAGUAGACCUACAUAAAUUCCAACAUUCUUAACUGGUGCUUCAUGAAUACACCAAGGGGGAAAAAGUACCCUCGGGCAUUAAUCAAAUUUACCAAGCUACUACUCCUUGCUGCUUAAAAGAUACAUCUGCAAUUAUUUAUACAUAGAUCUAUUUUUAUAUGUCUACUAACACUGCUCAUGCGUGCGCUCACCCACACAUUUGGCAUAACAACAUGGCAAGCAUUUGUAAGUAUGCUCCAAAUGUCAGUGUGGGGGUAAUUGCAGAACAUGGAUCUCGCCUUCAUCUGUAGGGCUCUUUGUUUUCAACUGUAAAUCAUGAUGUUUAAUUCUCCCACUUCACACCUGGGUAGGCAGUGGCCACAGCAUGUGUUAAAAUUUAUUUUCUAUAGAUUUAAAUUUUUUUUUUUUUAACCACCAAUACCUCAGGGACCUGCAACCAGUCUUGCACCUCAAAUCUUCAGUAAAAGCUCAGUACUGAAUUUUCAGAAAUUGACAGGCAAUUUCUACUUUUGCAAUGGCCUGAGCUUUGCGGGACUGCAGUAGCAAAGGCUAAAUGUGAAAAGGAAAUGGGUGUGAGCAAAAGCCCUUUCUCUCCACAGUGUCCACUGCCCUUCGAUUAAGAGACCAGCAUUUGUUGUCUGUGUAGGAGCUAUUUCUAAACUCUCUUAGCUGGAGGCAAUGUACACCAGACCAGUGGGGUGGGAGCAAUAAAGAAGAAAUGCAGUAAAGAACAAAUUCUUUUCAGAUUAGCUGAUUGGCAGUUGUAAAUAAUGCAGCUCUAGCACUAAAGUAAGAAAGAGCAGCUUCAACCUUGGCACUCAUUAUUUUGCUGUAAGCCUUUUUUCCUAGGAAUGUUUUUCUCUUUCAAGACUUAAACUAUGUUAACUCCUUAUGAUCCAGUCAUUUGUCCAAAAGGGUGAACUGUAAAAACCCUUUGUUGAAACCUCAAAGUUGUGGAUGUGAAAUGAUAGCGAGAAACAAUGGUAUUCUCAAACACUCUUCCCACUUACACCGAAAUUAUGACAGAAAACAUGUACACUUUGGGUUAAAUACCAUUCAUUCUGCAUAAGACCUGACAAGCAUUUUGAAAAAAAUGUUAAAGAAAUUAGGCACAUGAUUUAUAUGCAUGGCUACAUGAAGAACUCAGAUUGUUAAAAAUGGGAAGAGCAUAUAUGAAAUGGUCAUUUAGUGAUUCUAAAGAUAUUUUCAUUCUCGGCAGUCAUGAGGAUACAGUCAACCAGACUGACCUUUAAAUCCUCUGACCUAGUUCUGAAAGUAAAUUAUCAGACCAAUUAUAGGCUGGAUUUAUUUCAAACUGUUAUAAACAAAAAAUAAGUCUUUUUCCUUAAUUAUUUUCAAUUUAACAAUACAUUUGUGUUCAAUUAUGACAUUUAUUGUGAGAGACGGAAUUUUUUUUAUAAAAUCGUUUGUCCCUCCAAGUAUUUCCAUUGGUAUUUUAUUAAAAUAUUUCUUUCCAAAUUGUUUAUUUUUAUCCUUUAGAUCUAAUCGACUACAUUAUAAAUUUAAAAUAGUGUUGCUAUUUUUCUUAUUGUAAAAUCAAUAAAUGUUCUAAUAAAAUAUGAA
rnacentral:lncRNA from 1 species